rnacentral:rRNA from 1 species
CAGAACGAACGCUGGCAGCGUGGAUAGGCAUGCAAGUCGAACGGGAUCCGGUAGGCAGCAAUGUCGGCCGGUGAGAGUGGCGGAAGGGCGAGGAACACGUGGGUAACCUGUCUUGAGGUGGGGAAAACCGCUGGAAACGGCGGCUAAUACCGAAUGUAGCGCCCGCUCGCAUGAGCGGAGCGCCAAAGGGGGCGAAAGCUCCCCCUCUUCGAGGGGCCCGCGCACCAUCAGCUUGUUGGCGGGGUAACGGCCCACCAAGGCUCACGGUUAGCUGGUCUGAGAGGAUGGCCAGCCGCACUGGGACUGAGAUACUGCCCAGACUCCUACGGGAGGCUGCAGUCGAGGAUCAUUUGCAAUGGGCGAAAGCCUGACAAUGCGACGCUGCGUGGAGGAUGAAGGCCCUCGGGUUGUAAACUCCUGUCAUGGGGGAAAAGGAAACCCUGCCCAAUACGCAGGGAAUUUGAUGGUACCCCAAGAGGAAGCGACGGUUAACUCUGUGCCAGCCGCGGC